rnacentral:lncRNA from 1 species
CAAGAACUUACCAUAUAAGCGUUUAUUUUUUUCUUAAUUUUUCCGUUUACUUUAAAUGAUGAAAAACUUGUUUUUUGCUCAUUUUUUUUUUUUUUUUUUUUUUAUUUUUUUUGUUUAUUUAAAUGACUUUUUUUACUUUGUAAAAAUAGGUUACUCAUAUAUAUAUAUAUAUAUAUAUAUAUAUAUAUGUAUACUAACUUAAAGGUGGUAGCACCAGUAGUCGCAGUGAUAGUACAUAAACUAUGAAAUAUGCCGAAUAUUAUACCAAACACGGUGUUGUGACGAUAAACGCCGAAGUAAAUGUUUGUUUCAAACCAUUAAUUAAUGAUUUGUUAAUUUCAAAAUCAUUGUUAAAUAACUUAAAGGCUUCUGUUAUAAUAAAUAAAAAAACGAAUAUUCAAGAUCUUUGCUUAUAUAAAAUUAAAUUAAAGUUAAUAUAUAAUAAAAAUUUUGAUUAUAAAAACAAUGUAAGAUGCUCAAAAAAAAGCAUAAACGAAAACUCGUUUUCCACCUGCUCUUCUGUUAACCCUUCCUCUUCUCACUCUACUGUAAAUAAACAAGUAAGUACUGAAAAAGAUAUUUCAUUGGUAAAAGGAUAUAAUUUGAAUUUUGAUAUAAAUAAUAAUAUAAUAGCAAAAAAUAAUACGUAUGGUUCAAUUUUUUUUGAAAAUUAUGACAAUGUAAAUGUAUGUAAGAACGGCACGGAUAUGUGCAUAGGCGUUACGGGUACAUGCAAAAACGACAAUCAUGUUGAAAAAAUAAAAUACGAACUUAAUAGAUCAAACAACAAGGAACAUGUUAUAACUAAUUAUUUCGAACAUAAAAAACUAAAUAAUAUUAAUACACUAAAAAAAACACAGCAGAGCGAAAAAACUGAUGUUUACAAAACAAGUCAUGUUGUAAUGCAUGUAAAAACGACAUCAGAAUCAUUAACACAUAACAAAAAAGACGAUAAUAGUAUAAAUCCGUUAACGAAUAUUAAAUUUUUGGUUAAAAAGGACAAAGAACUAAUAUCAAAACAAAACUAUUUUGAUAUAACAUCUAUAUUAAAAUGUCAGGACACCAUUUCUAGUAAUGUAAUAGAUAUAUUUGAAAACAAUGAGUCUUUUGAUUGUACAUAUAUUUUAUUACCUUCCUUUUUAACCAUA